AAGUCGUAACAAGGUUUCCGUAGGUGAACCUGCGGAAGGAUCAUUACCGAGUGGCGCGAAAUUCCUGUCGUGAGACGGGGAAGCUACCCGACCUUUUGUCAUUUUGUCGAGUCUUGGCUGGCGGGAUUGCAUUCGUGAGAAGCGAAUGUGGAUUUCGGCAGACGGACCAAAACUUCGGCGGAAGAGGUAGGCGUUGACCUGCCCGCCGCCGGCCGUAGAAGACAAUACACAUUCUUGAGAGCAAACUGAAGUCUAAGACGAUACUUGAAAAAGAAAUAGUAAAAAAGCAAAACUUUCAACAACGGAUCUCUUGGCUCUG
rnacentral:misc_RNA from 1 species